AAUAUUGCGCAAUGGAGGAAACUCUGACGCAGCGACGCCGCGUGAGCGAUGAAGGUCUUCGGAUCGUAAAGCUCUGUCCUCAGGGAAGAAGAAAGUGACGGUACCUGAGGAGAAAGCCACGGCUAACUACGUGCCAGCAGCCGCGGUAAUACGUAGGGGGCGAGCGUUGUCCGGAAUUACUGGGCGUAAAGGGUGCGUAGGCGGCCUCAGAAGUCAGGUGUGAAAUACCGUGGCUUAACCACGGGGGUGCAUUUGAAACUUUGAGGCUUGAGUGCAGGAGAGGAAAGUGGAAUUCCACGUGUAGCGGUGAAAUGCGUAGAGAUGUGGAGGAACACCAGUGGCGAAGGCGGCUUUCUGGUCUGUAACUGACGCUGAGGCGCGAAAGCGUGGGGAGCAAACA
rnacentral:rRNA from 1 species